rnacentral:rRNA from 1 species
UAAUACGUAGGGGGCAAGCGUUGUCCGGAUUUACUGGGCGUAAAGGGCGCGUAGGCGGUCUGUUAAGUGUGAAGUGAAAUCUCCAGGGCUCAACCCGGAAAUUGCUUCGCAUACUGGCUGACUUGAGGGACGUAGAGGUGAAUAGAAUUCCCGGUGUAACGGUGACAUGUGAAAAUAUCGGGAGGAAUACCAAUGGCGAAGGCAGUUCACUGGACGUUUCCUGACGCUGAGGCGCGAAAGCGUGGGUAGCAAACAGGAUUAGAUACCCUGGUAGUCCACGCCCUAAACGAUGGAUGCUAGACGUCAGGGGUAUCGACCCCUCUGGUGUCGCAGCUAACGCAUUAAGCAUCCCGCCUGGGGAGUACGGCCGCAAGGUUG